AUAACUAUAAGGCUUUGGCUCAAUCAAUGUAGUAUCUGUUCUUAUCAGUUUAAUAUCUAUCGUCCCCAUCGAGGACUUCAUAUAAUGAUUUUGAGACAGAAGUCGAAAUAAAGCUUGCUCAAAUCCGCACUCGAUCGACCAGUAUUCAGUACCUCCGGGAAUGGUGCAACACUU
rnacentral:snRNA from 1 species